rnacentral:rRNA from 1 species
GACGAACGCUGGCGGCGUGCCUAAUACAUGCAAGUAGAACGCUGAAGAGAGGAGCUUGCUCUUCUUGGAUGAGUUGCGAACGGGUGAGUAACGCGUAGGUAACCUGUCUUGUAGCGGGGGAUAACUAUUGGAAACGAUAGCUAAUACCGCAUAACAAUGGAUGACAAAUGUCAUUUAUUUGAAAGGGGCAAUUGCUCCACUACAAGAUGGACCUGCGUUGUAUUAGCUAGUAGGUGAGGUAAUGGAUCACCUAGGCGACGAUACAUAGCCGACCUGAGAGGGUGAUCGGCCACACUGGGACUGAGACACGGCCCAGAAUCCUACGGGAGGCAGCAGUAGGGAAUCUUCGGCAAUGGGGGCAACCCUGACCGAGCAACGCCGCGUGAGUGAAGAAGGUUGUCGGAUCGUAAAGCUCUGUUGUAAGUCAAGAACGGGUGUGAGAGUGGAAAGUUCACACUGUGACGGUAGCUUACCAGAAAGGGACGGCUAACUACGUG